UAGGGAAUCUUCCACAAUGGGCGCAAGCCUGAUGGAGCAACACCGCGUGAGUGAAGAAGGGUUUCGGCUCGUAAAGCUCUGUUGUUGAAGAAGAACGUGCGUGAGAGUAACUGUUCACGCAGUGACGGUAUUCAACCAGAAAGUCACGGCUAACUACGUGCCAGCAGCCGCGGUAAUACGUAGGUGGCAAGCGUUAUCCGGAUUUAUUGGGCGUAAAGCGAGCGCAGGCGGUUGCUUAGGUCUGAUGUGAAAGCCUUCGGCUUAACCGAAGAAGUGCAUCGGAAACCGGGCGACUUGAGUGCAGAAGAGGACAGUGGAACUCCAUGUGUAGCGGUGGAAUGCGUAGAUAUAUGGAAGAACACCAGUGGCGAAGGCGGCUGUCUGGUCUGCAACUGACGCUGAGGCUCGAAAGCAUGGGUAGCGAACAGGAUUAGAUACCCUGGUAGUCCAUGCCGUAAACGAUGAGUGCUAGGUGUUGGAGGGUUUCCGCCCUUCAGUGCCGGAGCUAACGCAUUAAGCACUCCGCCUGGGGAGUACGACCGCAAGGUUG
rnacentral:rRNA from 1 species